rnacentral:rRNA from 1 species
UACAGAGGUCCCAAGCGUUGUUCGGAUUCACUGGGCGUAAAGCGCACGUAGGCGGAUUGUUAAGUCAGGGGUGAAAUCCUGGAGCUCAACUCCAGAACUGCCUUUGAUACUGACGGUCUUGAGUUCGGGAGAGGUGAGUGGAACUGCGAGUGUAGAGGUGAAAUUCGUAGAUAUUCGCAAGAACACCAGUGGCGAAGGCGGCUCACUGGCCCGAUACUGACGCUGAGGUGCGAAAGCGUGGGGAGCAAACAGG